rnacentral:rRNA from 1 species
GACGAACGCUGGCGGCGUGCUUAACACAUGCAAGUCGAACGGAAAGGCCCUGCUUUUGUGGGGUGCUCGAGUGGCGAACGGGUGAGUAACACGUGAGUAACCUGCCCUUGACUUUGGGAUAACUUCAGGAAACUGGGGCUAAUACCGGAUAGGAGCUCCUGCUGCAUGGUGGGGGUUGGAAAGUUUCGGCGGUUGGGGAUGGACUCGCGGCUUAUCAGCUUGUUGGUGGGGUAGUGGCUUACCAAGGCUUUGACGGGUAGCCGGCCUGAGAGGGUGACCGGGGAGGUGGGGAGUGGGAUACGGCCCAGACUCCUACGGGAGGCAGCAGUGGGGAAUAUUGCACAAUGGGCGGAAGCCUGAUGCAGCAACGCCGCGUGCGGGAUGACGGCCUUCGGGUUGUAAACCGCUUUCGCCUGUGACGAAGCGUGAGUGACGGUAAUGGGUAAAGAAGCACCGGCUAACUACGUG